GAUGAACGCUGGCGGCGUGCCUAAUACAUGCAAGUCGAGCGAACGGACGAGAAGCUUGCUUCUCUGAUGUUAGCGGCGGACGGGUGAGUAACACGUGGAUAGCCUACCUAUAAGACUGGGAUAACUUCGGGAAACCGGAGCUAAUACCGGAUGAUAUUUUGAACCGCAUGGUUCAAAAGUGAAAGACGGUCUUGCUGUCACUUAUAGAUGGAUCCGCGCUGCAUUAGCUAGUUGGUAAGGUAACGGCUUACCAAGGCAACGAUGCAUAGCCGACCUGAGAGGGUGAUCGGCCACACUGGAACUGAGACACGGUCCAGACUCCUACGGGAGGCAGCAGUAGGGAAUCUUCCGCAAUGGGCGAAAGCCUGACGGAGCAACGCCGCGUGAGUGACGAAGGUCUUCGGAUCGUAAAACUCUGUUAUUAGGGAAGAACAUAUGUGUAAGUAACUGUGCACAUCUUGACGGUACCUAAUCAGAAAGCCACGGCUAACUACGUG
rnacentral:rRNA from 1 species